GCUUUGUCUCAAAAAAAGCAUGAAAGAAAAUAAUAAUAAUAGUAAUAAUAAUAAUAAUGUUAUACUGACAAAGCUAAUAAAGAUAAAAACAUGAAAACAGAGUAAUUCAUGAAGUCCCUGCCACCUGCCUUCCACAGGUGCCAGUUUAUGGCCAAGUUUGCUUAAUUAUGGCUCCUAUUAUUUUUAAACACCUCUCGAACAGGAUUUUUAAGAAGACCUUAUGGUCACAGCCUCAAAAGAAGAAAAAUUAGUGUGUGUUCAAUCGAGUGUAUUGUUAAAACCCAUUAUAAUUAUUUUUUACUGUCUAGUUCUAGUUAAUUCCAAGAGAUAAACAAAAACAUCUCACUUCAGUUAUUAUGACCUUUCCCCUUGCAUGUUGUUUUACAUUUAUUAUUUUUUUGUGGGGGAAGGGCACACGUACCACACAGAGAACAACUGCGGAAAGAAACCCUCUCUUUCUGCCCUGUGGGUCCUGGGUAUCAAACUCAGGUUGCAAGGCUCAGCAGCAGGCACCGAUACCCACCCUUCCUCUUACAUCUGUUUGUUUUGAGACUGCUCUCACUGUGUAGUCCCAGCUGGCCCAGAAUUUGCGUGUGUAGACCAGGCUAGCCUGGAGCUCAUGGAGAAAGGCCUGCACCUUUUGUCACCUGCUACUAACCACUAUUCAUUCAACGCACAGAGGCUUAUGGUUGCUUACAGGCUGGGUUUUUAUUGAACACGUGGGUUAGAAAUAGAUGCGGAGAGAGACCCUUUCAUCCUCAGAUCUGCUGGUGGGAAAUCUGCUUCCUAUUUACGUGUAGAUGACUGAGAACACAGCCGGAACAACAAUGGUCUCAAAACCGACAGCCAUCAGCAAGAAGGGGGAAGAAAGAAAAUGCUGCCUCAGCUCUUGCUGGAGAGAACUGUCUGCCUGAACAGUAGUUCAACUAUGGAAGGAAAACAGUGUCGCCUGAAACGGACCCUCAAAGCUUCCAUAAUGCACACCAUAGAUCCCGCUGCCACAUGGGGCCCAGCUACUGCCUUACUCAGGAGACCCAGGAAGCUUCUAUGCUCCCUGCACUGUGACUCUUCACACUUCAGUCCUCACUUCAGCACAAGCUACAUUGAUGUUUUGUUCUGGUUUGGUUUGGGUUUGGGUUUGGGUUUGGUUUGGUUUGAGACAGAUUUCUCUGUGUAGUCCUGGCUGUCCUGGAGCUCACUCUGUAGACCAAAACUGUCCUGGAAGUCAGAGAUCCACCUGCCUCUGCCUCUCAGUGCUGGGAUUAAAGGCCUGUGUCUCCACCACCCAGCAAAACUACAUUCUUUACUUUGGGGUUAAAGAACACAGGAGAAUACUUUGGAGAAAGGUUGAGUUUUGUUUUGUUUUUAUAAUAUACUAGUUAGUUAGUUAGUUAGUUAGUUAGUUAGUUUUGAGACAGGGUCUAGCUAUAUAGUCCCAGCUAUUCUGCAACUCUCGAUAUAGAACAAAUUAGCCUUGAAUUUAUGACAGUCUUCCUGCUUCUGCCUCUGGAAUACUUGAAAAUGGAGUUGCAACCUAUAUUCUGUAAAGUGCACUGAUCUUCAGGAAAGAAUUCCAGUAGAAAUUCCGGUGGUUUUUUUUACAUCACAUGCCUGUGGAACCCUACCCCAGACAUGGAACACUCCAGUCACCACAAGGCACUCCCUGUGUUCUUUCCUGUCCCUACCCUAUACCCCACCCUAGCCUGCCAGGAAAUUGUGCACUGCACUGAUGGCCUGUGCCAGCAAUGUUUCAGCCUGCUCUAACUGAUAGUGUGGGCUGAGCCUCCUGGGACUCAGCUCUUCCUUUCCUGUGCUCUAAGGCCAGGUAAGUCCAGGAAGACCCAUCGUACAGACAACAGCUUCUCAGGGACCCCACCUAGUGAGAGCAGGGCCUGUCCCUACUGUCCUAAUUAUCAUGAGACAGACCCCAGGCCUUGACCUUGAGCCUGGCCUGCCAGGCCUUCCUCCCUUGCAUACUGAGCACUGAGCAUAGAAACUCAAUAUAUAACUUAGUCUUUCUAGAGUAAGAGGCAAGACCAGAUGGGAGAGCUCAGAGUUACUGUAACUGGAGUCUGCCAACCUGGAUUUCAGUCUUCUGCUAGCUGUGAAUCCUCCUUCAGCCCUACCCCUGCCUCUCCCAGUUUCUUUUUCUCUAAAAUGGCAUUAAAAUGAAGCCUUUUUAAGAAGCUACCCAAAGCACGCUAUAAACCCACAAGUGCUAUAGAAGCAUAAAGAGUCAUUACUGUUACCAUAAUAAAUUCCCAGACCCUGUAUGGGAUGCAGCCCAGGGACUGCUUAUCCAGGUAGGUUACAGUGGUCUCUGACUACAAACCCCAUAGCACCACCAUCUUCUUCAAAGGAAGGGACCUGGGGUCUUCUGGGAAUCUCUGGAAGGCUUUGAUAUUGCUUCUUUGCUACUUUAAUUGCAGUUAUGAUUUAUUGAAGGCUCAUCGUGUGUCAGGUAAAGCACAUAAAACUGAACAUGCCAGAGUUAAGCGUCGGCGGUGCACGCCUGCAAGUCCAGGAGCUGGGCCAUAGAGGUUGACCCCAGACUUGUGGACCCCAGAUGUUCCUUCUGCCUGAGCCUCUUGAAUGUCUCGGACAAUAGACAUCCACCAUUAUGCCCAGCGGAG
rnacentral:lncRNA from 1 species